AGUGAACGCUGGCGGUAGGCCUAACACAUGCAAGUCGAACGGCAGCACAGUAAGAGCUUGCUCUUACGGGUGGCGAGUGGCGGACGGGUGAGGCAUACAUCGGAAUCUACUUUUUCGUGGGGGAUAACGUAGGGAAACUUACGCUAAUACCUCAUACGACCUACGGGUGAAAGCAUGGGAUCUUCGGACCUUGCGCGAUUGACUGAGCCGAUGUCGGAUUAGCUAGUUGGCGGGGUAAAGGCCCACCAAGGCGACGAUCCGUAGCUGGACUGAGAGGAUGAUCAGCCACACGGGAACUGAGACACGGUCCAGACUCCUACGGGAGGCAGCAGUGGGGAAUAUUGGACAAUGGGCGCAAGCCUGAUCCAGCCAUACCGCGUGGGUGAAGAAGGCCUUCGGGUGGUAAAGCCCUUUUGUUGGGAAAGAAAAGCAGCAGGUUAAUACCCCGCUGUUCUGACGGUACCCAAAGAAUAAGCACCGGCUAACUUCGUG
rnacentral:rRNA from 1 species